GACCUCGGAUCAGGCGUGAAUACCCGCUGAACUUAAGCAUAUCACUAAGCGGAGGAAAAGAAACUAACAAGGAUUCCCUUAGUAACGGCGAGUGAACAGGGAAAAGCCCAGCACCGAAGCCUGUGGUCAUUUGACUGCCAGGCAAUGUGGUGUUUAGGUCGUUCCGCAGUUGCACUGCUCCACCCUAAGUCCAACAAUGAGUACGGUAUUAUGGACAUGGCCCAUUGAGGGUGAAAGGCCCGUGGGGGUGGAGAUCAGGUGUCACAGUGCAGCUCUGGUAAGACCUUGGAGUCGGGUUGUUUGUGAAUGCAGCCCAAAGUGGGUGGUAAACUCCAU
rnacentral:rRNA from 1 species